rnacentral:rRNA from 1 species
GGUCGAAAGAGGAAAUUCAUUCGCGUUUCGGCCGUCGAAGUUGAACGUUUGUAUGACGGAUGUAGUUUCGGCUACGUCUGCGUCUUACGUUUUUCGAAUCGAUGUCGAACGCGUGCACUUUUCCUCUAGUAGGACGUCGCGAUCCGUUGGGUGUCUGUCUAAGACUCGAGGUGGAGCCCACUCGAUUUCUCGAUCGUGUGGACCCUCGAUGUUCCGACAGACUCGCUCGACGGUAUACUAAUGGCGCGAGGCCGCUACCUAAGUUAGCGUUCGGCCCGUAGCAAGCGCGUUCUGUGUUUAACAGCGAUCGGACCUAGUGCCGAUUCUGUUCCGGAACGACUGUUGGUUACGGUGUUCUCGAACAGACCUCG